CAUAUUAGAAACGUCCUGAGCCCCAGCAGGUCUGGGGUGGCCCAAGCCUCUGACUUCCCUGAGAUUUGCUGUGGAUUGGCCUGGGUUUUACUGCUCUCUUCUCCUCUCGCCCUUCCUGCAGCCCUGAUGCGGAGUUCUGUGGCUACUGUAUCACACACCCCUCUGAAAGCAAGAUCAGCUUCCGGAUCCAGACCAGAGGGGCCCUUCCUGCUGUUGAGCCAUGCCAGAAAGGAAUGAAUGACCUGAUGGGUGUUUGCUAACAUGUACUCAACACCUUUGAGAGGAGCAUGAAGGAGUACAGGGCCCAGAGGGAGGAAGAGAUACAGUAGCAUUUGGGGAUGGCAGUCUCCAUGGACGUGUAAGGUCUGUGUGUUGAAUUCCCUGUGCCAAGUAUUUCUGGUUGUGUGUUUUAGGACUGCUUUGAUGCAAACCUGUAUUUUCUGUAAUAAUAAAGAUUCUGCAGGCUGAUGUUGCAGAGGUGACGCUGUGUCCAGCUCAGCAGGGUAUGAAAAAAGAUAGAAGGCAGUUCUUCCCCUCCUCUGUCUUCUAUCUCUUUCCAAGCGUCGUUGCUGUUUCCUGCCCA